rnacentral:rRNA from 1 species
GACGAACGCUGGCGGCGUGCUUAACACAUGCAAGUCGAACGGAAAGGCCCUGCUUUUGUGGGGUGCUCGAGUGGCGAACGGGUGAGUAACACGUGAGUAACCUGCCCUUGACUUUGGGAUAACUUCAGGAAACUGGGGCUAAUACCGGAUAGGAGCUCCUGCUGCAUGGUGGGGGUUGGAAGUUUCGGCGGUUGGGGAUGGACUCGCGGCUUAUCAGCUUGUUGGUGGGGUAGUGGCUUACCAAGGCUUUGACGGGUAGCCGGCCUGAGAGGGUGACCGGCCACAUUGGGACUGAGAUACGGACCAGACUCCUACGGGAGGCAGCAGUGGGGAAUAUUGCACAAUGGGCGGAAGCCUGAUGCAGCAACGCCGCGUGCGGGAUGACGGCCUUCGGGUUGUAAACCGCUUUCGCCUGUGACGAAGCGUGAGUGACGGUAAUGGGUAAAGAAGCACCGGCUAACUACGUG